rnacentral:rRNA from 1 species
AGUGGGGAAUUAUUCGCAAUGGGGGAAACCCUGACGAUGCAACACCGCGUGGGGGAUGACGGUCUUUUGAUUGUAAACUCCUUUUUUGAGGGAAUAAAUAUGAAGGUACCUCAAGAAUAAGCGUCGGCUAACUACGUGCCAGCAGCCGCGGUAAGACGUAGGACGCAAGCGUUAUCCGGAAUUAUUGGGCGUAAAGAGUUCGUAGACGAACUGUUAAGUAGAACGUUAAAGACCAGGGCUCAACUCUGGGAAUGUGUUCUAAACUGGCAGAAUAGAGUAAUGCAGGGGCAAGUGGAAUUCUGUGUGUAGGGGUUAUAUCCGUAGAUAUACAGAGGAACACCAAAAGCGAAGGCAGCUUGCUGGGCAUUUACUGACGUUCAAGAACGAAAGCGUGGGUAGCAAACAGGAUUAGAUACCCUGGUAGUCCACGCCCUAAACGAUGAUCACUCGAUGUUGGAGGAUUCGACCCCUUCAGUGUCUAAGCUAACGCGAUAAGUGAUCCGCCUGGGUAGUACGAUCGCAAGAUUAAAACUCAAAGGAAUAGACGGGGACCCACACAAGCGGUGGAGCAUCUGGUUUAAUUCGACAGCAAACGAAGAACCUCACCAAGGCUUGACAUCCCGAGAAGAUUGCCGAAAGGCGAUUGUGCCGCAAGGAACUCGGUGACAGGUGCUGCAUGGUUGUCGUCAGCUCGUGCCUUGAGGUGUACGGUUAAGUCCGUAAACGAGCGCAACCCAUGUCCUAUGUUGGAUUUAUCAUAGGAGACUGCCGGUUACAAAUCGGAGGAAGGUAUGGAUAACGUCAAAUCAGCAUGGCCCUUAUGCCUUGGGCUACACAGGUGCUACAAUGGGAGAUACAAAAGGCAGCUACACGGUAACGUGAUGCAAAUCCCCAAAAUCUCUCUUAGUUCGGAUUGAGGGCUGAAAUUCGCCCUCAUGAAGCUGGAAUCGCUAGUAACCGUAAAUCAGCUAAGUUACGGUGAAUAUGUUCCUGGGUCUUGUACUCACCGCCCGUCAAGUCAUGGAAGGUUGGAGUGCCCGAAGUUCCCUUAGUUUUCGAACGGGGGCCUAAGGUAAUACAACUGACUAGGACU